AAAUGAUAAACUAAACGCACUCUUAUUAUUUACUUACAAGUAAAGUUUUUAAGCUUAAACAUGUUAUAAAUAUGACAAAAUGCAAACAUUUCACGCAUCUUGUAUUUUCUAAUCAUGUUCAAUUUGAUGUAAAAGCAUGUCAUUAGGUCAUUUUCGAGUCAAUGAACUGAAUCCAUAUAUCUUUUAUGUUUCAUGUAUAUCAGCUGGAUGAUUGGGUGUUAUGUAGAAUUUACAAGAAAAAGAAUUUGGGGAAAGGUGCUGAGCAGAAAGCUGAAAAUCCAAUAGCCCAAAUCGUAACUCUUGACAGUGCAACAAGUGAAGCAUCAAAAUUUCCCAGAACUUGUUCCCUGACUCAUCUAUGGGAAUAUGGUUAUAUGGGUUCAAUUGCCCAUCUUUUGAAUGACAAUUCUUUUAAUAAUAAUAUGCCCUUUGAUAAUCAGAACCCAGUGAGCAGCAAUGUAAAUCUUUCGGAGACAUUAAGGUUAGGACAAGUGCAGAAACCAUACACAGAUGGCAUGAAGUUUCAAGGGAAUUAUCAGCCAAUUUUUGUGAAUCCGGUUCAUGAAAUUCAAUGAAAAUCUUGCUAGGAGAUUGGAUGAGGAUCAAAAAGUAGAAACUGUACAAAAAGUGGCUAAUUCAUUUGUCAUUGUCAAUAGGAAGAUAUUAUCUUGAAAGUCUUUUAAGAUUUGAUAAUUGAUAUCAGCAAGUAAUGUUUAAGAAUUGUAAUAUAGUAUUUUUCGAUGUACUGAACGUAGAUUAAAAUCGCUUGUAUUGUAGAUUUAUAAGGUUUUAAGAAUAGUAUAUAUAGAUUUCUCUUUAUGUCAAAAAUUACAUUUGCCCUUGUUUGAUACAAAUUUUAAUCUAAAUCAAAUUUAAC
rnacentral:lncRNA from 1 species